rnacentral:lncRNA from 1 species
CUACUUUUUUAUUUCUUAUCUAUAAAUAAAAUAAGACUUGUUUCCACUAGGAAUGCAACUGGCCUGGUAAUGAGAUCCCAGUCUGGUCUGGCUUCAAAGUUCAUGUUUGUUUACCAGAAGAUGAGUCAGUCCUGAAUAUAAACCUGAUCAGUGUCAUACACUUGGAAAGACCAGAAGAUGGGAUAAAAUAUGGAAAUAAAAACAUGGGAUGAGGUAUCUUAUUUUCUUUUCUUGAGAGGCCAAGGGUGAUAAAUAGAUGUUUUCAAGAAAAGCAAACUGCAGAGAUCCCAGCGCUUCUGUGUCAGAGGCUGAGUAUUAUUCCUGGAGCAUUAUUCCAGGUAAUCAAUGGACAUAUUGGAUCUUGUUCAAAUACAUGGCAGACAGAACCUGAAAUACAAAGCAAUGAUUCUUGUUCCUUUUCUGGGCAAGUGCUGGCCAUGCCAUGGACUGCAGUCUGAGAAAGUGAACAUGAUGUUUUCAUACAUGGCCUUUUCACUUCAAAGUUUUCAAAAUGCACAUAUCAGCUGUAGGAGUGAAUUUGUGUAG